GAUCAUGGCUCAGAUUGAACGCUGGCGGCAGGCUUAACACAUGCAAGUCGAGCGGGGAAAGGUAGCUUGCUACUGGACCUAGCGGCGGACGGGUGAGUAAUGCUUAGGAAUCUGCCUAUUAGUGGGGGACAACAUUCCGAAAGGAAUGCUAAUACCGCAUACGCCCUACGGGGAAAGCAGGGGAUCUUCGGACCUUGCGCUAAUAGAUGAGCCUAAGUCGGAUUAGCUAGUUGGUGGGGUAAAGG
rnacentral:rRNA from 1 species